rnacentral:lncRNA from 1 species
UACAACCAGAAUUGGUACUAACAUUAAUGCAUUGGUAUAAAGGCAGCAGCACUCUUCAGCUUUCUCAUUCCAUAUAGAAAAAAGAAAACCUGAACCAGCUUUGGCCUCCUGAUCAUUGCUUUCUCUGACUAAUUGAGUUCUCAAUCUCCUGCAAAGAUAAUAAGUAAGUGGUUUUUCUUUCAAUUUAGUGCUGCUUUGACUUACCAUUUGUUCUUCUUUCUUAAUGAAGAGUUUCUGUUUUCUUUGAUAUUUGGAUUUUGUGCAGUGGGUACUGAAAUGGUGAUGGUUGAUGAAAUCCCUUUCCCCCCACAAAUCACAACUACCAAGCCAUUGUCCCUUCUAGGUUAUGGUAAGAAUUUUUCUUACUAUCCUGUAGUACUUCUUUUCCUUGAAACAAAUUUAAAGUCUCAGAAACAGGCUGAGAUUAGUACCUUUGGGUUUCUACAUCAAUGUCCUGUGUCUAAUGACCUUGUGCUGGGGCUGCUACAGGAAUUACUGACAUUGAGAUUCACUUUCUCCAAAUCAAGUUCACAGCGAUUGGAGUUUACCUUGAACCUGAAGUUGCAGGACACUUAC